GAACUGCGAUAAGUAAUGUGAAUUGCAGAAUUCAGUGAAUCAUCGAGUCUUUGAACGCAGAUUGCGCCCCCUGGCAUUCCGGGGGGCAUGCCUGUCCGAGCGUCAUUGCUGCCCUUCAAGCCCGGCUUGUGUGUUGGGUCGUCGUCCCCUCCGGGGGACGGGCCCGAAAGGCAGCGGCGGCACCGCGUCCGGUCCUCGAGCGUAUGGGGCUUUGUCACCCGCUCGAUAAGGACCGGCCGGGCGCCAGCCGGCGUCUCCAACCUUUUUUUCUCAGGUUGGCCUCGGAUCAGGUAGGGAUACCCGCUGAACUUAAGC
rnacentral:misc_RNA from 1 species